CCUGGUAAGAUGGGGAAAACCCCCCUCAGUUUUAUGAAGCUGCAAAAGCAGUGUUUAUAAAGCAUGGUACAAUGCACAGAGAGAGGUCCACAGUGCCGGUAGCAAAGGACUCACAGGAUUAUUUUAAGCUGGAACUUAAAGAACAGAAACCUCUGCCACUGUCACCAUGUGCUCUGCCACAGGAGCUCAUCCCAGCACAGGAACCACGGGCAGCUCCUCAGGAAACAGACACAGGAGUGGUGGAACUCACCUAGAGAAGACUAAAUAUUCCUCAUGGAUUAUACUAAGGAAGCAGAAGCUUCCUUCCCCAGAAGCUGUUCCCAUUUGGAGAGGGCUGCCAGAAGAACCAGGUUGUGAAGAGACACCUCCUUUAAGGAACUUUAUCAGAGAGCAGCACUG